AACGAACGCUGGCGGCAGGCUUAACACAUGCAAGUCGAACGGGCGUAGCAAUACGUCAGUGGCGGACGGGUGAGUAACACGUGGGAAUAUGCCUUUCGGUUCGGAACAACUCGGGGAAACUCGUGCUAAUUCCGGAUACGCCCUUACGGGGAAGAUUUAUCGCCGAAGGAUUAGCCCGCGUUGGAUUAGCUAGUUGGUGAGGUAAUGGCCCACCAAGGCGACGAUCCAUAGCUGGUUUGAGAGAACGACCAGCCACACUGGGACUGAGACACGGCCCAGACUCCUACGGGAGGCAGCAGUGGGGAAUCUUGGACAAUGGAGGAAACUCUGAUCCAGCCAUGCCGCGUGAGUGAUGAAGGCCUUC
rnacentral:rRNA from 1 species